UUGUCUUCACAAGCACCCUUCACUCUACCCCACUUUGCUGACUGCCUCCACCAGGGUUGAAGCUAGGGGCAGGAGAAAGAGUUGGAAUGUGGAUGGUUGAGCUGCUCCAUGCUGCCUAGGGAACAUGGAGACCAAAUCCUCUACCCACCGGCCUUCAACUCCAGACUUCAGGGUGGGAGUGGGAUUGGAGACUGGUGUUUGAGCAUGUUGGAAUAUUGGAACACGAAUCAGCUCAGCUUCAAGAGAGGGUCAUGGCAAGAAGAAAGCACGCAGCAUGGGCUGGUUGCCUGAAAACACAGGCUCAGACUGGGUGUCUGGGCAGGGAGCCCUGAGUGGGUGAUCCGAAGCCUGCAUAUGUAUGUGUGUUGGGUGCAUGUGGCCAGCAGCAGGGUGAAGAUUGAAGUUGGAUCGGUAUCUGAGGGGGAUUACCUGGGAUUCACUCUUGGCGUCAUGUAAGAAUAAGUGUUUCCAUUUUGCACCCUGGGCACCUCAUUCACCUCACCCUAGUCCUGGCUUUGGCAGAUAGCCUCUGAAACGGCUGCCAAUGAUCCUACCUUCAGGGAUUCAUGCCCUUGUGUAAUCUGCGACUCGUGUGUGGACUGAACCUAAUAACUUGUGUCUAAUGAGUAGAGUAGAGCAAAGGUGAUGGGAUGCCACUUCUAAGAGGAGGUUAUAAGAGACUGUGACUUCUACCUUAUACCCCCCACCGCCCAUCUUUUGUUUUUUAACUCUGAUGAAACAAGUUGCCAUUUGUGACUAUUGAGGCCUAUUGGCAUUUCUGCCUUAUUGGGAGACCUAUGUGGCAGGGAACUGAGGGUGACCUCCAGACAACAGCCAGUGGGUCCUUCCCUGGUUGAAUCUUCAUAGAAGACCACAGCCUCCGUGGACAGCUUGAUUGUAAUCUGCGGGAGACUCUGCACCCGAAGCUCCGGCUAAGCCUUGCCCAGAUUCCUGACCACAGAAACUGUGAGAUUCUCAAUACUGUUGUUUUAAGUCACUGUGUCUUAGAGUAAUGUUUUAUGCAGCAAUAAACAACUAACAUAGUGCGGAAAGAUCCUGGUGGUGGUGGUGGUGGAGUGUUGGUUGUUGAACCCAAAGAACAACAUAAACAAGGAAAAGUGAGAAGGUACUGAGGACACACUGAACCCAGUUUUGUGUAUUUUAGACAGUUUGGGCCAGGGAUGGUUCUUCCUAUGGGGUUGCUUCUUUUUCUUCUCCUUUACCUCCUCCAACCCUUUGCUUCCUUAAGAGGGGGAAAAAAAGCUGGAGAGUUGCUUUAUCAGUGUUAAAACUGCUAAACUUUGAAAUUU